CUGAAAGAAUACCCUGUACCAAAACACUUCAGUAGAUGAAAAAGAAGAAAUAUGGGCUGAGGCAGAAGUGGAGCGCAUAGGACCCACCAUUCAUGAAGAGACUGAAGACUUGCAUUGCGAGGAAGACUCAAAUGAGGGGCAGCCCAAAUACUUCUUCCAAAAAAGCUGAGCUGGCAUGAAGUACACAGCAAGCUGACAAAUACAUGCUUCUCCCAUUGCAAAGAUGGCAAUAUGCAAACAGAAGACUGAGAGUCAGGCUAUUCAUCGGACCAGCUGACAAUUUCACCCAUUUUCAGGAAGAAAGAGUUAAGGAUAAAUAAAUCAGGUCCUCAUCUAGUGUCUGAGUUUUCAUUUGAGACAGCACCUCUGAUGUAGAACAGACUUGCUAGUGUCUUCCACUUAUGUGACCUUGAAUACAGUUGGGAUUUUUUGCUUUAAGUUUUGAUAGAAAUCAUGGAAGCAGAUGGCUUGGGACA
ensembl:lncRNA